UUGGAGGGCAAGUCUGGUGCCAGCAGCCGCGGUAAUUCCAGCUCCAAUAGCGUAUAUUAAAGUUGUUGCAGUUAAAAAGCUCGUGGUUGAAUUUCGGGGUCAGCAGGUUGGUCGUGCCACUGGUAUGCACUGGCUUCGCUGAUUCCUCCUUCUUGAAGAACUGUAAUGUCAUUAAUUUGGUGUUGCAGGGAAACAGGACUGUUACUUUGAAAAAAUUAGAGUGUUUAAAGCAGGCUAACGCUUGAAUACAUUAGCAUGGAAUAAUGAAAUAGGACGUUCGAUCCUAUUUUGUUGGUUUCUAGGAUUGACGUAAUGAUUAAUAGGGAUAGUUGGGGGCAUUAGUAUUCAAUUGUCAGAGGUGAAAUUCUUGGAUUUAUUGAAGACUAACUACUGCGAAAGCAUUUGCCAAGGAUGUUUUCAUUAAUCAAGAACGAAAGUUAGGGGAUCGAAGACGAUCAGAUACCGUCGUAGUCUUAACCAUAAACUAUGCCGACUAGGGAUCGGAUGAUGUUAAUUUUUUAAUGACUCAUUCGGCGCCUUACGGGAAAC
rnacentral:rRNA from 1 species